UACGUAGGGUGCGAGCGUUGUCCGGAAUUAUUGGGCGUAAAGAGCUCGUAGGCGGUUUGUCGCGUCGACUGUGAAAACCUACAGCUUAACUGUGGGCUUGCAGUCGAUACGGGCAUCACUAGAGUUCGGCAGGGGAGACUGGAAUUCCUGGUGUAGCGGUGAAAUGCGCAGAUAUCAGGAGGAACACCGGUGGCGAAGGCGGGUCUCUGGGCCGAUACUGACGCUGAGGAGCGAAAGCAUGGGGAGCGAACAGG
rnacentral:rRNA from 1 species